GACGAACGCUGGCGGCGUGCUUAACACAUGCAAGUCGAACGGAAAGGCCCUGCUUUUGUGUGGUGCUCGUUUGGCGAACGGGUGAGUAACACGCGAGUAACCCGCCCUUGACUUUGGGGUAACUUUAGGAAACUGGGGCUCAUACCGGAUAGGAUCUCCUGCUGCACGGGGGGGGUUGGAAAGUUUCGGCGGUUGGGGAUGGACUCGCGGCUUAUCAGCUUGUUGGUGGGGUAGUGGCUUACCAAGGUUUUGACGGGUAGCCGGCCUGAGAGGGUGACCGGCCACAAUGGGACUGAGGGACGGCCCAGACGCCAACGGGAGGCAGCAGGGGGGAAUAUUACACAAUGGGGGGAAGCCUGAUGCAGCAACGCCGCGAGCGGGAUGACGGCCUUCGGGUGGUAAACCGCUUUGGCAUGUGACGAAGCGUGAGUGACGGUAAUGGGUAAAGAAGCACCGGCUAACUACGUG
rnacentral:rRNA from 1 species